rnacentral:tRNA from 1 species
CGCAGCGCAGGCUGGUCACGGCCAACGCCUUGAGCGCGCUGGGGGACGGCGUACGGUUCGCCGCGCUGCCCC